GAUUAACGCUGGCGGCAUGCCUAAGACAUGCAAGUCGAACGGAGUGCCCCACUGAAGUCUGAUUGAAGUUUGCGAGCUUGCUCAAAGAUGAAAAGACGAUGGAUGUGGAUUCUGCACUCAGUGGCGAACGGGUGAGUAACACGUGGGUUAUCUACCUCUAAGUUGGGGACAACAGUUGGAAACGACUGCUAAUACCGAAUGUGAUAGAAAUAUUAAAGGAGCCUUUAAAGCUUCGCUUAGAGAUGAGCCUGCGGCGUAUUAGCUAGUUGGUGGGGUAAUGGCCUACCAAGGCGACGAUGCGUAGCCGGACUGAGAGGUUGAUCGGCCACACUGGGACUGAAACACGGCCCAG
rnacentral:rRNA from 1 species